rnacentral:rRNA from 1 species
UGCCAGCAGCCGCGGUAAUACGGAGGGUGCGAGCGUUAAUCGGAAUUACUGGGCGUAAAGCGCGCGUAGGUGGUUUGAUAAGCUAGCUGUGAAAGCCCCGGGCUCAACCUGGGAACGGCAUUUCGAACUGUCAGGCUAGAGUAUGGUAGAGGAGUGUGGAAUUUCCUGUGUAGCGGUGAAAUGCGUAGAUAUAGGAAGGAACACCAGUGGCGAAGGCGGCACUCUGGACCAAUACUGACACUGAGGUGCGAAAGCGUGGGGAGCAAACAGGAUUAGAAA